AUACGGAGGGUGCGAGCGUUAAUCGGAAUUACGGGGCGUAAAGCGUACGUAGGCGGUUGGUUAAGCUAGAUGUGAAAGCCCCGGGCUUAACCUGGGAACUGCAUUUAAAACUGGCGAACUAGAGUUGAGUAGAGGGGAGUGGAAUUUCCGGUGUAGCGGUGAAAUGCGUAGAGAUCUGAAGGAACACCAGUGGCGAAGGCGACUCCCUGGACUCGAACUGACGCUGAGGUACGAAAGCGUGGGUAGCAAACGGGAUUAGAAACCCCAGUAGUCC
rnacentral:rRNA from 1 species